UAUUGCACAAUGGGGGAAACCCUGAUGCCGCGACGCCGCGUGAGGGCAGACGGUUUUCGGAUUGUAAACCUCUGUCUUCGGGGACGACUUGAGACGGUACCCAAGGAGGAAGCUCCGGCUAACCCCGUGCCAGCAGCCGCGGUAAUACGUAGGGAGCAAGCGUUGUCCGGAAUUACUGGGUGUAAAGGGAGCGUAGGCGGGAUAGUAAGUUGAUUGUUAAAACUAUCGGCUCAACUGAUAGAUGCGAUCAAAACUGCAGUUCUUGAGUGAAGUAGAGGCAGGCGGAAUUCCUAGUGUAGCGGUGAAAUGCGUAGAUAUUAGGAGGAACACCAGUGGCGAAGGCGGCCUGCUGGGCUUUAACUGACGCUGAGGCUCGAAAGUGUGGGUAGCAAACAGG
rnacentral:rRNA from 1 species